CUAUUCUUAGAAAAAAUAAACCAUGGCUUUUUACUUUAAAAUCAAGUUUCCACCUAUUUAUCUUUUAAUAAAGAAUUAACCGUGGGUUUUUUAUCUUUAGAUCUAAGAUCCACUUAAUUCUCCUUAAUCUUAGGAAUAAGAAAGUAAUGGAUAAGUUAUUCCUUUUUACUAGCUAUUUGAGUUCCUAUAUAAAGGGAACUUGAUUCAACCGAAAUUGUUGAGCCAAAAAAAGCCAAGAAGAGCCUAAGAGUCCAUACGUGAGAUUGAUAUAAACAAGAAAUAUUUUUGUUUAAAAAAUUGCCAAUUAAUUUAUAAUAUUUUCUUGUGCAACUCUUUAAUUUUAUCUUUAGAAAUUUAUCCUUUGUAAAGGGUUUUUGAGAGAAUUGUUGUAAGUAGACUUGGGUAAGUUUAGGGGAGAAUUAGAAAGCUUUGAGUGAAGCUAGAGAAGAGGAAAGCUUCGAGUGAAGCUAGAGAAGAGAGAAGUUUCAAGUGAAGCAAGAGAAAGAGAAAUUGGCCUAGUUUGUAUUUGUUUUAUGUAAUUGUAACUAAUUGCCUAAAACAUAUUGAAGAGUUUUGAAAUCCCGAGGGGUUGUGGCUUUUUCCUUCUAUUUAGGCCUAGAAGGUUUCCACGUAAAAUUGUGUUGUCUCUUUUACUUUUUCGUUUUAAGUUUAAGUUUUAAUUCUGCAAAAACAGGGCUAAAAACACUUAAACUUAUUACAACAACAAUUCACCCCCCCCCCCCCCCCCCUCUUGUACUUAAUCACCAUCUUUAGCAGUUUCUACAAUUGGUAUUAGAGCCUUGUUCCUGAUUUGAUCAGGAAACCCUGAGAGCAAUAUCCUGGUUCUUAGAGAUGUCGAUAAUGAAUGAACGAAUGGAAGAAGGGUACUCAACUCAAAGGUCACCUAUGUUCGAUGGAAAAUUCUAUAUAUAUUGGAAGAAUAGGAUGGAAAUCUUCAUCAAAGAAACAACAAAGAAAGAAGAUCUGCCAAUUCCAAAUCUAACCUUGAAUGCCACAAAUGUGGAAGUAUUGAUCACUUCAUAAAAGAUUGCCCUAUGUGGAAAAAUGAAAAGGGCAAGGAAAAGGCAAGGGAAACUGGAAGACUACCAUCCAAAGGACAUCUCAAAAAAACCGAUUUUCGUAAAGCCAUGAAUCCGAAAGUGAAGCUGAGACAGAAAACCCCAAGAGGAAGAAACAACCAAUUUAUGUCUCAUAGCUUCACACGAAAGCAAGAAUGAGAAGUCCAAAGGAAAAUAGGUUCUAGUGAGGGGAACAACUCAUGGUAUCUCGACAGUGGGUGUUCCAAGUACAUGACAGGAGAUAGAUCAAUAUUUCUCUGACUGGAAAUUUAUGAUGGGGAACCAUGACUUUCAGUGACAACAUGAAAGGUGAAAUCAUCGCUAAAGGAAAAAUAGGAAGGUCAAGUUCCCAUGCAAUUGAUAACGUAUAUUUAGUCGAGAAUUUAAAACAUAAUUUACUAAGUAUUUCUCAGUUCUGUGACAAAGAUAACUCUGUAAACUUCACUUCUGAAAAAUGUAUUAUUUCUAGGAGUGACACAGGAGACACUGUUCUGGAAGGAAUUCGAAAAGGGAACACCUAUGUUGUGGACAUCAACACUGUUUCCAAAUCGAACCUGACUUGUCUCAGUGUCAUAGAAGAAGACCCUUUUCUUUGGCACAAACGUCUAGGUCAUGCUAGCUUCUUUUUGAUUAAUACUUCAAGAUCAAAAGACCUAGUAAGAGCAUUGCCAUCCAUUAAAUUCCUAAGGGAUGAGGUAUGUGAUCCCUGUGCCAAAGAAAAACAUGUGAAGUCAUCCUUUAAACCAAAGAAUGUGGUGACCACCUCAAAACCGCUUGAAUUAAUCCAUAUGGAUCUUUGUGGAUCUAUGAUAAUUUAAAGCCGUAGUGGCAAACGAUAUGUCUUUGUUAUUGUUGAUGAUUACAGUAGAUUUACAUGGACUUUAUUUUUAGUAAGUAAAGAUGAAGCUUUUAGUGAGUUCAUUUUUUUUGCUAAUAAAAUACAAAAAUCUAGUAAUAAUCAACUUAUUCACAUCAAGUCAAAUCAUGGUAAAGAAUUUUAAAAUUCAAGCUAUAUGAAUUAUUGUAAUGAGCAUGGCAUAAGUCAUAAUUUUUCUGCACCUAAAACACCACAAUAAAAUGGUGUGGUAAAAAGAAAAAAUAGAACAUUAGAGGAAAUGGCUAGAACCAUGUUAAUUGCUAGUGGUCUUCCUAGGAAUUUUUGGGCUGAGGUUGUCAAUACUGCAUGCUAUAUUUUAAAUCGUGUACUAAUCAAAUCUAUCACUUCUAAAACACCUGAUGAACUGUUUAAAGGUGUAAAACCAAAUAUUUCCUAUUUUCGUGUAUUUGGGUGUAGAUGUUUUGUUCAUGUUAAUGGAAAAAGAAACUUAGGAGAGUUUGAUGAAAGAAGUGAUGAAGCAGUAUUUCUUGGCUAUUCACCUCACAGUAAAGCUUAUUGAGUUUACAAUAAGAGAACUAUGUGUGUAGAAGAAUCUGGUCACUUUAUUUUUUAUGAAACUAACUUUAUGAUGAGUGAACAGGAUACAAAUAAUUUUAAAAUAGGUCUUGCAAAUUUGGAAGAAGAUGAUGAUGUAAGUAGAGAACAAGAUCAAUAAGCAAUCGGAGAACUACUAAUUCAAAAACAAACCGAAGUACUUGACUAAGCGGAACAGCCGAUAAAUGAGGACCAGCACGGUGUCCCAAUCCAGCUGUUCCCAGAAAUAAGCAAGAUGAUCAGGUUGAAGCUGAGCAGAAUAUCAAUCAAGUCAGUGACGUAGUUUCCAUAACCGUUCCUACAAGAGAAUUUGUGCCCAAACCGUGGAAAUAUCAAAAAUUUCGUCCACUUGACUUGAUCAUCAGUGAUUUAAAUAAGGCCACACAAACCAGAUCCCAAAUGAGAAAUUUCUAUGCACACUUUGCGUUCCUGUCAACAUUGGAACCAAAAAAUCAUGAAGAAGCUUUAAAAGAUUCAGAAUGGGUUGUUGCCAUGCAUGAUCAAUUGAAUGAAUUUGAAAGAAAUAAAGUAUGGCACUUAAACCGAAACCAAAACACAAUAAGGUGAUUGGACUGGAAUGGGUAUUUAGGAACAAAUUGGAUGAAUAAGGAAUAGUAGUAAGAAACAAAUCAAGGCUCGUGGUUAAAGGGUACAAUCAACAAGAAGGAAUCGAUUAUACAAAGACAUUUGCUCCUGUAGCCAGGUUAGAUGCUAUCAGAAUUCUAAUUUCUUUUGCUGCUUUUAUGAACUUUAAGUUAUAUCAAAUGGAUGUAAAAUAUGCUUUCUUGAUUGUUUUUCUUGAUGAAGAAGUCUUUGUGGAACAACCCCCUGGCUAUGAAAAUCCUUCUUUUCCUGAUCAUGUCUAUAAGCUUGAUAAAGCUCUUUAUGGGCUAAAACAAGCUCCUAGGCAAUGGUAUGAAAGAUUAUCAAAGAUUUUAAUUGAAAAUGAAUUUGUUAGAGGUAAAAUUGACAAAACAUUAUUCUUCAAGAAUAGAGGUUCUGAUAUUUUAGUUGUUCAAAUUUAUGUUGAUAUUAUUUUUGGUGCUACCAAUGAGUUGCUAUGUAAAGAAUUUGCUAACCUAAUGAGUACUGAAUUUGAAAUGAAUAUGAUGGGAGAAUUAAAUUUCUUCCUUGGCUUGCAAAUUAAAUAAACAGCUAAUGAAAUUUUUAUUCAUCAACAAAAAUAUAUAAAAGAACUUCUCAAGAAAUAUGGUUUAAACAAUGCUAAAACAAAUCACACACCUAUGGCUACAAACAUUAGAUUAGAUGAAGAUUCGAAUGGUAUUGAUGUUGAUCAAACUAUGUAUAGAGGCAUGAUCAGUUCUUUAUUAUAUCUAACCGCUAGUAGACUCGAUAUUGCUUUUAGUGUUGGUUUAUGUGCCAGAUUUCAAUCAAAUCCCAAAGAAUCACAUCAUACAGCAGUGAAAAGAAUUCUGAGAUAUUUAAAGGGAACAAAUAAUAGAAAAGUGAUGUCAAUGAUUUGAAAAGUUAUAGUGAUGCAGAUUAUGCAGGACAUCUUGUAAACAGAAAAAGCACUUCAGGUAUGGUACAAUUCCUUGGCUCUCGUUUAGUGUCUUGGUGUUCCAAGAAACAAAACACCGUUGCAUUAUCCACUACGGAAGCAGAAUAUGUGGCAGCAGCAACUUGUUGUUCCCAAAUGCUGUUGAUCAAACAACGGCUAAGACACUUUGGUAUUAAGUUUGAAUGUGUUCCUAUUUAUUGUGAUAAUAUACUAAUGCCAAAUGUAUAUUUAAAGAUCUCGUGCAUUAUUCUAGAGUUAAACAUAUUCAUAUAAGACAUCAUUUUCUCAAGGAUAAUGUGGAAAAUAAAAAUAUAACUGUUAAGCAUGUUAAUACUAAUAAGCAAAUAGCAGACAUUAUGACUAAACCACUUCCAAGAAAACAACAUGAAAAGAUGAGGUUAGAACUUGGAUGAUCAAGCUCCACUAAAGUUAAUGGUAAGCAUUCUCCUCAAACCAAAAUAAAAAUUGGAAGGUUGACUCAUCCACAAAAACCCUGGUUAAGAAAUUAAUCAUUGAAAGGUUCAGGUAUGCAAUUAUUUAAAGUACGUGCUGUGUUUGCGUUCUUGAAUGCAUGUUUAAAUUGAUCAUAUCAUAGCAGCAUUUGUUUAAUAAAUAAUAGUCUUCAAAUUAAAACAAACGAGGACAUCAUCAUAUUUUUUCUUCAAUUUUUUAGCAUCAUUAUUUUAUAUAGAUGGUCAACAUAAAAUAAAUUGUUAAUGAGGGUCGGAUCAAAAAACCGUUACUAACAACCAAUUCCAUGAAUCUAUCCACUAACCAUUCAUCAUCCUCCUUGUUCACACAUACAUUUAAUUAAAUUAAUUGUAGUUUAACUCUCCAAUAACCAUCCUUUCACAACUUAUAAUACUACCCACUUACACUCUCACGUCAAAUCACUCAUUUUAAACGACCCUCACAUAACUUUACCCACUUUACCUACUCUAAAACCGUCACUCUCAUUCAUCUUCCUCAAACACAGUUUCCACAAUGUUCUUCACCGUCUUUACUCAAACACCAAAAGCUACCUCCUUAUCCAAGAAAACUAAUACAUCUAUCAUCGAUGAUUACUGCACCAUUAUCCUCCUCAACUAAACCCAAACAAUCUGACCCACCAAGCUCCUCAACCAUGCAUGGUGGAUCAAAAGAGAUCAUCAUCUAGACCAACAAAGAAAGUCAAGACUUUCGAUCCAAAUAGUCCAAAAGAAAUCUCCAAAGAGAUGUCAGUAGGAUUUGGGCUCGAUAAAUACUGGUAUAACACUACUCCCUUUCCUAAAUUGCACGCCAUUAUUAAGAAUCUAAAUUGGGAAACCCUUAUGACAGAUUUUUGCUGUAACCCACUCUAUCCCAAUCUUAUGCGUGAAUUUAUUUCGAACUUUUCAAUUGAAAAUGGAGUAUGUUAAAGAAAUCAAAAUCGAGUUUAAUUGUGUAAUGCUUGGAGAAUGGUUUGAAGUUCCUGCUGUAGGGUUUAACACGUAUCAUGUUAGUACAAAUAUUGUUUUCUCAGGGAUCAAUGAGAAAACUGUGCUAAAGUUUUAGGGAUAAAUGAAAAGAGAGGAAGAAUCAGUCACCAUACUCUGUCCCCACUGCAUAAAUUACUCUACAACAUUUUUCGAAGAUUCAUUUUGCCACGCAACUCAAAACGUAGCGAAGUAAAUCUUCGUGAUGCAACUUUAAUCUAUUGUUUAGCCAAUCACAUCAAAAUCAAUUUUUCUUCCUUGAUGAUCUCACAUAUAUCUAACUGUAUAAAGAAGAAGUUUAUGGUAGGAUACGGAGGUUUAUUAACAUGGAUUUUCAAGAAGUUUGGAGUCUCGUUGGACAGCCUACAGUUCCCCAUGAGUCCCAAUAAAAAACACAGGUGUCAAAUGCCUUAACAAUUUGUACCUAAGAGUUUCAGAAAAAGGGAUUCUGGAGGAAAUUUCCAACGAGGAUGUAGAGGAAAAAAAUUCAGAAGAAGAUAAGGAUGAAGGAAAAUAAAAAGAACAGGAUGAGGGAAAAGAAAAAGAAGAUGAAAAAGAAUAAGAAAAAGAAGAGGAUCAGUAGCCUGUUCCCACUGCCACAAAUGAUGAGGCCGAGGUUGUUUCAAAAGGGGAAUAAGAAGAAGCUACAAGUAAGGGGGAAAUUUCAAAAGAAAAGGAAGGUGAGAACCCAUAUGAUGAUACUUCUAGUGAUGAGG